GGGGGUAUAGUUCAGUGACAGAAUGCUUGCCUAGAAUGCACCAUGCCCUGAGUUCAAUCCCCAGUACUACCA
rnacentral:tRNA from 1 species